UUGUUCGCAAUGGGCGCAAGCCUGACGACGCAACGCCGCGUGGAGGAUGAAGACCUUCGGGUCGUAAACUCCUUCCGAUCGAGACGAACGGUCUCCGGGUGAACAAUCCGGAGAAGUGACGGUACCGAGAGAAGAAGCACCGGCUAACUCCGUGCCAGCAGCCGCGGUAAUACGGAGGGUGCGAGCGUUAAUCGGACUUACUGGGCGUAAAGCGUGCGUAGGCGGUUCGUUAAGUCAGAUGUGAAAGCCCUGGGCUCAACCUGGGAACGGCAUUUGAAACUGGCGGACUAGAGUUUAGUAGAGGGGAGUGGAAUUUCAGGUGUAGCGGUGAAAUGCGUAGAUAUCUGAAGGAACACCAGUGGCGAAGGCGACUCCCUGGACUAGAACUGACGCUGAGUACGAAA
rnacentral:rRNA from 1 species